rnacentral:misc_RNA from 1 species
UUGGCAGUACAGACCUUCUGGA